UUCCUUCAUCCAUCUCAUCUUCUUUGUCUCUCCAUUUCCUUUCCAUUUUUCUCUCCAUUCUCUAGUUUUAAGUUUCUGCAUUUUUAAGCAAAGAGAAGAAGAGAAGAAGAAGCCAUGAAGCCUCCUAGCCGUCAUCAUCCACCUUGUGCCGUGAUAGUGAAGUCUUGCUUUAAAGAUUCAAGAUCAACGUCUCAAGCUCUUCAUCAUCCACUCCCUUCAUGGUAUUUGUAGAACUAUGAAUUCUAGUUAACAAAUAAUGUUAAGGGCAAAGUUUAAAGCCCGUUUAUAUGUUUUGAGAUAAAGUUGUGAUUUCUAUAUGUUGAUUUUUAU
rnacentral:lncRNA from 1 species